GAUUCUGCAGCACCGUCUGCAUCCCCCUGUUCUGCUUCAUCAGGUUGCCCCCCUACCAUUAUAGAAGUAAGGGUGGCAGGUGAGUGUGGUAGCAUGAAUGUACCGUCCGGGUUAACCAUGGGGUACAAGGUAGAGAACACCGGGGCACUAGGGG